AACCACAUGAGUGAUGAGUUGUGAUGGCACUCUAUGGAAUCACAUAUCCAUAUAACAUAAGGUGGAGAAAGGGACAUAAGGAAGGGGGCAGGGGGGGACCAAUUAAUACCACCUGUUCAUUCUCAGGCAAAGCAGACAUGAAAUCCAUUAGAGGUUUGUUAUAAUCAUCAAAAGAUAGCAAAGAAUCUGCAUCAGAUUGAUCAAUUCCACCACUUUUCAGGUCUAUGCAUGACACCUUAUAGCCAGAAUUCUCCAUAAGGCACCGGAUUUUGUACCAGCACCAACCUCCCCCACCUAGGCCAUGUACAAGCACAAAGUGCUGCUGCUUCAACCCAACUCCUUCUUCCCUCACUCCCUCAGGCAUGCUUU
rnacentral:lncRNA from 1 species